rnacentral:lncRNA from 1 species
AGCAACAUCAACAAUUUAUUAGAACAGAAAGCUAAUACUACAAUCAUACCAGAAUCCGCUGAGAAAACUCACUUUUGUCACUCUCGUGAAUUCCUCCGUGAAAUCCAGUAACAAAAUCCCUACUCUACGAAAGACUAAAACCCUAAUCUAAGGAAUAGAGAACUGUAGCAACAAAAUGAAAGUGCGUCUGUGUGUGUCUCCCCCUCUACAACUAUUUACAACCCUUUUUAUAGGAUAAAAAUCCAGAGCAGAGAAAGAAAGAAAAGGGAACAAGAAACCUUCAUCAUAUCUUCUUCAUCCAACGACCCUCUUCACUUUGCUUCAAGCUUUCCAGGCCCUCCGAUCAUCCUCACUAUCUUUGCCGGUUCAGACUCCACACGUGGCACGAGAACUAGAGCUUUCUUUCUCUCACGUGACUUCACUCUCCGCCCGCAUAAGCCUUAACUCUCUAGGGAGUUUUUUCUGCCAAAUGAAGUCACAAAAGUAAA